rnacentral:tRNA from 1 species
GGCCCUGUCGUCUAGUGGCCAAGGACACGUGCUUCUCAAGCACGAAACACGGGUUCAACUCCCGUCGGGGCUA